rnacentral:rRNA from 1 species
AUACGUAGGGGGCGAGCGUUGUCCGGAAUUACUGGGUGUAAAGGGUGCGUAGGCGGGACUGCAAGUCAGAUGUGAAAUGCCGGGGCUCAACCCCGGAGCUGCAUUUGAAACUGUGGUUCUUGAGUGAGGUAGAGGUAAGCGGAAUUCCUAGUGUAGCGGUGAAAUGCGUAGAUAUUAGGAGGAACAUCGGUGGCGAAGGCGGCUUACUGGGCCUUUACUGACGCUGAGGCACGAAAGCGUGGGGAGCAAACAGGAUUAGAUACCCUGGUAGUCCACGCUGUAAACGAUGAUGACUAGGUGUGGGGGGACUGAACCCUUCCGUGCCGCAGUUAACACAAUAAGUCAUCCACCUGGGGAGUACGGCCGCAAGGUUGAAACUCAAAUGAAUUGGCGGGG